rnacentral:tRNA from 1 species
CUGGGAGUAGCUCAGUCUGGCCAGAGUUCCUGGUUUGGAACCAGGAUGUCGGCGGUUCAAAUCCGUCCUCCCAGACCA